rnacentral:lncRNA from 1 species
GGGAGAUGGGAAACAUCAAGGGAAGGAGGGCUUGGGCCAGGGGAGGGGCACAUUUUCAGGAUAUGUCCCUAAGGGAGCAGGUACAGCUUUGUGCCUUCUAUCCAGAGAUUAAGUGAACUGUCCAGGAGGAGUCACCCACAGAGGCGAAGGUUUCCUUCAGCUGCGCUCUUCAGCGAUCUCUAGCCAGGUUGAUGGGGCUGUCUGGUUUUGUGUGCACAGAUCACAGGUCCUUUAGAACAGCCUCUCA